GACGAACGCUGGCGGCGUGCCUAAUACAUGCAAGUUGAGCGCUGAAGGUUGGUACUUGUCCCCACUGGAUGAGCAGCGAACGGGUGAGUAACGCGUGGGGAAUCUGCCUUUGAGCGGGGGACAACAUUUGGAAACGAAUGCUAAUACCGCAUAAAAACUUUAAACACAAGUUUUAAGUUUGAAAGAUGCAAUUGCAUCACUCAAAGAUGAUCCCGCGUUGUAUUAGCUAGUUGGUGAGGUAAAGGCUCACCAAGGCGUUGAUACAUAGCCGACCUGAGAGGGUGAUCGGCCACAUUGGGACUGAGACACGGCCCAAACUCCUACGGGAGGCAGCAGUAGGGAAUCUUCGGCAAUGGACGAAAGUCUGACCGAGCAACGCCGCGUGAGUGAAGAAGGUUUUCGGAUCGUAAAACUCUGUUGGUAGAGAAGAACGUUGGUGAGAGUGGAAAGCUCAUCAAGUGACGGUAACUACCCAGAAAGGGACGGCUAACUACGUG
rnacentral:rRNA from 1 species